UUUAGAUCCUGGCUCAGAUGACGCUGCGGCGUGCUUAACACAUGCAAGUCGAACGAAGCGCUACCGACGGAACUUUUCGGAGGGAAGAUGGUAAUGACUGAGUGGCGGACGGGUGAGUAACGCGUGGGUAACCUGCCUCACAGAGGGGGACAACAGCCGGAAACGGCUGCUAAUACCGCAUAACAAGGGAUCUCCGCAUGAAGGUUCCUUCAAAGAUUUAUCGCUGUGAGAUGGACCCGCGUCUGAUUAGCUAGUUGGCAGGGUAACGGCCUACCAAGGCGACGAUCAGUAGCCGGCUUGAGAGAGUGAACGGCCACAUUGGGACUGAGACACGGCCCAGACUCCUACGGGAAGCAGCAGUGGGGAAUAUUGCACAAUGGGGGAAACCCUGAUGCAGCGACGCCGCGUGAGUGAAGAAGUAUUUCGGUAUGUAAAGCUCUAUCAGCAGGGAAGAUAAUGACGAUACCUGACUAAGAAGCCCCGGCUAACUACGUG
rnacentral:rRNA from 1 species